GCGAACGGGUGAGUAACACGUGGGCAAUCUGCCCUUCACUCCGGGACAAGCCUUGGGGACGGGGUCUAAUACCGGAUAACACUCUGUCCUGCAUGGGACGGGGUUAAAAGCUCCGGCGGUGAAGGAUGAGCCCGCGGCCUAUCAGCUAGUUGGUGGGGUAAUGGCCUACCAAGGCGACGACGGGUAGCCGGCCUGAUAGGGCGACCGGCCACACUGGGACUGAGACACGGCCCAGACUCCUACUGGAGGCAGCAGUGGGGAAUAUUGCACAAUGGGCGAAAGCCUGAUGCAGCGACGCCGCGUGAGGGAUGACGGCCUUCGGGUUGUAAACCUCUUUCAUCAGGGAAGAAGCAAAAGUGACGGUACCUGCAGAAGAAGCGCCGGCUAACUACGUGCCAACAGCCGCGGUAAUACGUAGGGCGCAAGCGUUGUCCGGAAUUAUUGGGCGUAAAGAGCUCGUAGGCGGCUUGUCACGUCGGAUGUGAAAGCCCGGGGCUUAACCCCGGGUCUGCAUUCGAUACGGGCUAGCUAGAGUGUGGUAGGGGAGAUCGGAAUUCCUGGUGUAGCGGUGAAAUGCGCAGAUAUCAGGAGGAACACCGGUGGCGAAGGCGGAUCUCUGGGCCAUUACUGACGCUGAGGAGCGAAAGCGUGGGGAGCGAACAGGAUUAGAUACCCUGGUAGUCCACGCCGUAAACGUUGGGAACUAGGUGUUGGCGACAUUCCACGUCGUCGGUGCCGCAGCUAACGCAUUAAGUUCCCCGCCUGGGGAGUACGGCCGCAAGGCUAAAACUCAAAGGAAUUGACGGGGGCCCGCACAAGCAGCGGAGCAUGUGGCUUAAUUCGACGCAACGCGAAGAACCUUACCAAGGCUUGACAUAUACCGGAAAGCAUCAGAGAUGGUGCCCCCCUUGUGGUCGGUAUACAGGUGGUGCAUGGCUGUCGUCAGCUCGUGUCGUGAGAUGUUGGGUUAAGUCCCGCAACGAGCGCAACCCUUGUUCUGUGUUGCCAGCAUGCCCUUCGGGGUGAUGGGGACUCACAGGAGACUGCCGGGGUCAACUCGGAGGAAGGUGGGGACGACGUCAAGUCAUCAUGCCCCUUAUGUCUUGGGCUGCACACGUGCUACAAUGGCCGGUACAAUGAGCUGCGAUGCCGCGAGGCGGAGCGAAUCUCAAAAAGCCGGUCUCAGUUCGGAUUGGGGUCUGCAACUCGACCCCAUGAAGUCGGAGUUGCUAGUAAUCGCAGAUCAGCAUGCUAC
rnacentral:rRNA from 1 species